rnacentral:rRNA from 1 species
UUAAGUUGCAGGGUAUAGACCCGAAACCCGGUGAUCUAGCCAUGGGCAGGUUGAAGGUUGGGUAACACUAACUGGAGGACCGAACCGACUAAUGUUGAAAAAUUAGCGGAUGACCUGUGGCUGGGGGUGAAAGGCCAAUCAAACCGGGAGAUAGCUGGUUCUCCCCGAAAGCUAUUUAGGUAGCGCCUCGUGAAUUCAUCUCCGGGGGUAGAGCACUGUUUCGGCUAGGGGGCCAUCCCGGCUUACCAACCCGAUGCAAACUGCGAAUACCGGAGAAUGUUAUCACGGGAGACACACGGCGGGUGCUAACGUCCGUCGUGAAGAGGGAAACAACCCAGACCGCCAGCUAAGGUCCCAAAGUCAUGGUUAAGUGGGAAACGAUGUGGGAAGGCCCAGACAGCCAGGAUGUUGGCUUAGAAGCAGCCAUCAUUUAAAGAAAGCGUAAUAGCUCACUGGUCGAGUCGGCCUGCGCGGAAGAUGUAACGGGGCUAAACCAUGCACCGAAGCUGCGGCAGCGACACUCAGGUGUUGUUGGGUAGGGGAGCGUUCUGUAAGCCUGUGAAGGUGGCCUGUGAGGGUUGCUGGAGGUAUCAGAAGUGCGAAUGCUGACAUAAGUAACGAUAAAGCGGGUGAAAAGCCCGCUCGCCGGAAGACCAAGGGUUCCUGUCCAACGUUAAUCGGGGCAGGGUGAGUCGACCCCUAAGGCGAGGCCGAAAGGCGUAG